UUUCUUCUCAUUCCAUCUCAUGUUAUUUUUUCUUAUGGUUGUCUCUUCCUUCACGAUUAAGUUUUAAGUACCCUUAAUUUCUUAUUGACUAAUUGAUGUCGACAUAGUUUAAUGAUCGAUAAUUAUGUCCUCAUGAAAAAGUAGUUUUUGAGUGCUGAUCAAAUGACAGUUUAGUUUACCUGUUUUAAGAAAUGACAAUUAGUUUGCUUACAAUUACUGCAUGUUUUAGCAGACCACAGAGGAUAUGGAUGAUUAUGAGGUGGAGCAGAAAGCUGGAUAUGGAUUCUAUUCAGACGACAUGUACCCUGGUGAAGAUGGUCAGCUCACCUGGUUCAACGCAGGAGUGAGGGUUGGUCUGCUGAUCAAAUGACAAUUUCUUAUUGACUAAUUGAUGUCGACAUAGUUGAAUGAUCGAUAAUUAUGUCCUCAUGAAAAAGUAGUUUUUGACUGCUGAUCAAAUGACAAUUUCUUAUUUGACUAAUUGAUGUCGACAUAGUUGAAUGAUCGAUAAUUAUGUCCUCAUGAAAAAGUAGUUUUUGACUGCUGAUCAAAUGACAAUUUCUUAUUUGACUAAUUGAUGUCGACAUAGUUGAAUGAUCGAUAAUUAUGUCCUCAUGAAAAAGUAGUUUUUGAGUGCUGAUCAAAUGACAGUUUAGUUUACCUGUUUUAAGAAAUGACAAUUAGUUUGCUUACAAUUACUGCAUGUUUUAGCAGACCACAGAGGAUAUGGAUGAUUAUGAGGUGGAGCAGAAAGCUGGAUAUGGAUUCUAUUCAGACGACAUGUACCCUGGUGAAGAUGGUCAGCUCACCUGGUUCAACGCAGGAGUGAGGGUUGGUGUUGGGAUAGGCCUCGGGAUGUGUGUUGGUGUUGGAAUUGGGGUGGGACUACUUAUGCGUUCAUAUCAGGCAACCACUAGGAAUCUGCGGAGGAGGUUUUUCUAGGCUUCUAACUUUCAGUCAUAGUGAAAUGGACUUCUUGACUGGAUUCUAACUAUUGGAAAAAGGACCUUUAUGGUCAUUAAAGUAGUGUCUCAUCUUAGUGGGC
rnacentral:lncRNA from 1 species